AAGCUUAUCACAAAUGGGGAGAGAGAGCCCGCUGAGACCCGUGUCUGCACAAGGAGGAUCUCCACCUGCCAGACCUCCCCGACCUCACUCAUCUGCUCUGGGAACUGAAAGAACAGUGGGAGCCCUUGGAAUCCAGGUACACGACCACGGUCAGAUUUCUGCAAAGGAAAACAGAAUCGUUUUGGGUAAGGAGUUGGUUUGGGGUAACUUUGUGAUCUCUCCCAAUUCCCCUACUGGCCUUCUGGGCCUCUACUGAAUUUUGAAGUUCUCCACAUUCCAAAUGGUAGUACAGAGAGGAGUAGGGGAAGCCAUAAAAUACCUAUCUACCCCUUUGACGAGACCUUUUGCAGGAACUUCGUACAUUUAUCUCCUUGGCUCUAACAGGGAUUCAAUCGAUUUGAAUGGGCUCAAAAAUAACUGAAUUGGGAGGUCAAAACCCAAAUGAUUUGAAUGAUGUACACUUUGAAUUGGCUGCGGGUCCCAGAGAACUUUGAAGUCCAACAGGAGAUGCAGUGGGAUGGUUAAAAUCAGCUGAGCCAGUUGUGAUAAAAACAGAAGGAGGGACGACUCCUUCAGCUUGGCAAUAUCCAAGUAUAAAUGAGGCCAUUCCCAGUAUAGAAAAACAAACUGUACUUUUUUUUUUUAAAAAAAGAGUUUUGAAGGAGUGUCGUAGUCCUUGUAAUACUCCAAUUUUACCAGUUAGUAAACAUAAAGUAGAUAACGAUGGAGAUCCUGAAUAGAGAUUUGUUCGAGAUUUACGAGCUGUACACGAGCAUGUCACUGCUUCACACCCUGUGGUACCAGAUCCUAGGCUGAUUUUAAUACCACAGGUUCCAGUCCGGGCACAGUAUUUCACGGGGCUUAAUCUUACAGGAGCUUGCUUUGGCGUUCCAAUUGCAGAAGAAAGCCAAUCGGUCUUUGCCUUCACGUGGCACAGGAAGCAGUUCACUUGGGCUAGGUUACCACAAGGAUUUUAC